UACAGAGGGUGCAAGCGUUAAUCGGAAUUACUGGGCGUAAAGCGUGCGUAGACGGUAGCGUAAGUCGGGUGUGAAAGCCCCGGGCUCAACCCUGGGAAUGGCAUUCGAGACUGCUCUGCUAGGGUGCGGAAGAGGGGAGCGGAAUUUCCGGUGUAGCGGUGAAAUGCGUAGAUAUCGGAAGGAACACCAGUGGCGAAAGCGGCUCCCUGGUCCAGCACCGACGUUCAGGCACGAAAGCGUGGGGAGCAAACAGG
rnacentral:rRNA from 1 species